rfam:Aedes albopictus isolate Foshan contig66673, whole genome shotgun sequence.
UAGCCUAGUGGUGAAGGCUAUGGAUUGCCAAUCCGGAGACGGCGGGUUCGAGUCCCGU